rnacentral:rRNA from 1 species
GCGGUAAUUUGACCGUGCAAAGGUAGCAUAAUAAUUUAUUUUUUAAUUGAAAGCUGGAAUGAAAGGUUGGAUGAGAAAAUAACUGUUUUUAUUUUGAUUAAUUAGAAUUUUAUUUUUAAGUAAAAAAGCUUAAAUAUUAAUAAAAGACGAGAAGACCCUAUAGAGUUUUAAUUUAGUUGGGGUGAUUGAAAAAUUUAAUAAACUUUUUUUGUAAUUAUACAUUAAUUUAUGAUUGAUUGAUCCUUUAUUUAAGAUUAAAAGUAAUAAUUACCUUAGGGAUAACAGCGUAAUUUUUUUAAAGAGUUCAAAUCGAAAAAAAAGAUUGCGACCUCGAUGUUGGAUUAAAAUUAAGUUUUGGUGUAGGAGCU